AUAAUACUUUUGUAUGGGAAUAUAUUUCUGGUUUUCAAUUCAUUUCUUUUUGAAAAGUUUUCUUAAAGAACAUUGUUACAAGAAUAACUUUGAAUGACUAGUAUACUGGUAAUUGAAUUGUAAAUCUCUUUUAGGUAUCCCAAAAUAACUCAGCAGGUACAAGAAGCACACUAUCAACAUCAAGAAGGAGAAGACUGUCAACACCAAGAAGGCCUAGAAGAAGUACAGCAAUCAGGAGUGGAACACAGGAGCAGGAAAAUAAUGCUGAGUUAAAUCAAUCAAGCAUCAUUGAUGUAACAGAAGAAACACCCCCAGAAGUGGUUGCAGCAGGAUAUCGCACUGCCACUGGCGACUCACCAACAGUUUUAUUUAGAACAUCAGCACCACUAAUGGUAGAUCAGAUGAAUACCCAUUCCAUAUCAAUUCCAAAUCAAACAAACAGGUCUCAACAAAUCAUUGACAU